rnacentral:rRNA from 1 species
UACGUAGGGUGCGAGCGUUGUCCGGAAUCAUUGGGCGUAAAGAGCGUGUAGGCGGCCCGAUAAGUCCGCUGUGAAAGUCGAGGGCUCAACCCUCGAAUGCCGGCGGAUACUGUCGGGCUAGAGUCCGGAAGAGGCGAGUGGAAUUCCUGGUGUAGCGGUGAAAUGCGCAGAUAUCAGGAGGAACACCAACGGCGAAGGCAGCUCGCUGGGACGGUACUGACGCUGAGACGCGAAAGCGUGGGGAGCAAACAGG